GUUCAGAUAUGGCCUAUGAGCUGCCAUUCUGCAGCCUUUCUGACCCACAGCGUGGAGACCACAUGUGGGUCCAACAUCAAUGUGUGGGUCUGCCUGGUGUGACGUUUCCAUUAAGACUCUGAAGACAAGUCCAGACUUAACAAGGGACAUGAUGAUCACUUAGUGACAUCUUUCCUAGACAAAAGAAAGGAGAAUAAAGACGUUUAUGCCUAGGGAUGACACUCAUGGCCUUAUAACUUAUUGCUCAGAGUAAGAUAUUUUUGAGAAGAAAAGGAGGUGCCAUAGUGAUCCAUGGAUAGAGUCGCCAUAUUUGGGGACUGGAACGUAUGGCUACCACCCACACAGCUUUUCUUGAAAUCCUCCCAUGUCAGUGCUCACUGCCCAUCUCCAUUCAUUAGGGCGACUCCUGCGACUCACCCACUUCUAAGCCCACCUGCCUCCCCUGCUCAGUCCCCUGCUCCUCUUAGCUUCUUCCCUUUCUUGGCUGCUCUGGACUUCAAAUCACAGCACAAGUGUCACUCUUUUUCAUCUCCUCCCUUCCUUUCCAGGCUAAUCUGUCCCACCAGGUUCCACAGCAUGUCACACAUGUCCCUCCUAUGGCAUUUAUCACAGCAUCCCACUUGCAGGGGCCAUCUGCUACUCCCAAAGGACUUGGAGUGCCCCCUCAGUGUCCCCCACAAAGCAGGUGCUCAGUGGUCAUUCAUUGAAAUUUUAUUUUGAAUCUCACCUUCUUCUCUCUUUCUCUGACACUCUCUGCAGAAGAUGAUAAUGAAGAGUGGAAAUACCAAGCAGACAAUAAGAGGGAGGUAAUGUGGGAAUGGAGAAAAUCUAUAAGCUGCAUAAUUGAUUCUUGAGUAACUGACCAUUGACCUACGUAGUGGUUGUGAAAAAGUCAUUAAAAAC
rnacentral:lncRNA from 1 species